AACUGAUACUACCUGCGGGAACCUGCGGAAGGAUCAUUAGAGAAUGUGCCCUUUGGGGUAUCUUUCCUACCCUUGUUUACAAUCCCUUUGUUGCUUUGGUGGGCCCGUCUCAUGACCACUGGCUUUGGCUGGUCUGUGCCCACCAGAGGACCCCAAAACUCAUUUUAUUAUGUUGUCUGAUUCUCAUACAAUAAUUAAAACUUUCAACAAUGGAUCUCU
rnacentral:misc_RNA from 1 species